rfam:TPA: Bos taurus chromosome 4, whole genome shotgun sequence.
GUCUCUGUGGUGCAAUCGGUUAUCAUGUUCAGCUGUUAACUGAAAAAUUGGUGGUUCGAGCCCAUCCAGGGAUG